rnacentral:rRNA from 1 species
AUACGGAGGGUGCAAACGUUGUUCGGAAUCACUGGGCGUAAAGGGCGCGCAGGCGGUUUGAUUAGUCAGAUGUGGAAGCCCACGGCUUAACCGUGGAAGUGCAUUUGAAACUGUCAGACUUGAGUACCAGAGGGGGUAGUGGAAUUCCCGGUGUAGAGGUGAAAUUCGUAGAUAUCGGGAGGAAUACCGGUGGCGAAGGCGACUACCUGGCUGGAUACUGACGCUGAGGCGCGAAAGCGUGGGGAGCAAACAGGAUUAGAAACCCCAGUAGUCC